rnacentral:lncRNA from 1 species
CGGCCUGACGCGCGGGAGCGGGAGCCGCUGGCCUCUGCUUUAGAGCGCUUUUGCUUUCCGAUGAGGAAAGGUAAGUCUUGCUUUCCUGGUUUUAUGUAUUUGCCACCUAAACAGUAUUCAUUGCUGUCUACUCCCUUUCUGUUUUUUAAGUUUUUAUUAUGGAAAAAUUGUAAAUACAUAUCAAGUAGAUAAUUCAUAAAUGAGUCUCCUUGGACCCGUUACCCAGCUUCGUAAUUGGCACGGCCAAUCCAGUGGCUUGUUUACCUGCCUCCACUCCUCCUCUGCCCCUUGUGCUAGAUUCCAGCAAAGCAAAUCCCAGGAGACUUCUACACCCUCCUUUUAGCUGCUCUUUUCUGGUUUCGGGGAUGUAUUUCCUCACUGAUUAUCUCUUUCCUUUCCAGCCACCCCUCCUUAGUCUCCGAUCUUGUGGGGAGCUCUGGAGCUAGGAUGGGGCUUUGGAGUUGUCCCCUGUUGAGGGCAGGGAAUGGGUCUUUAAAUCCCCCUCUACUCAUAGACCCGUCACUGGGUCAAGGUUGCUCCCAGGGGGGCCAUGAACUUGGGUGAAAUUGACUUCAGCUGAGGUCGGGUAGCUCUGUACAGCACGGUAUCCAUGUCUGUCUACUCCUUAUGUGUCAUUCCUGCUACCUUCCUAGGACAGCGCCGGGCACGGCUUUCCCAAGGCUUUGCUUGGUCUCUUUUCUGUGGAUGUAACAAGAGGAGGGUUAAUGGACGUGCCUUGGUCCACCCGCACUGCUGUAGCAGAAUACCACAGGCUGGGUGGCUCAGGAACCACAGAAAUCCAUUUCUCACAAUCUGUGGACACUCAAGAUCUGGGUGCCCACAGAUCCCACUUCCUGGGUGCCAGAUGGCUGGCUUUCGCUGUGUCCCCAAGUGGCAGAAGGGGCCAGAGGGCUCUCUGGGGUCUCUUCAUGAGGGCACUAAUUCCAUUCAUGAGAGCUCCACCUUCAUGACCUAAUCCCUCCCUAAGUUCUCACCUCCUCAUACCACUGCAUUGAGGGUUAAGUUUCAACACAUGAAUCUGGGGGACACAGACCUUCAGUCCACAUCAGGGUGAAAUACAGACGCUGCCACUGACCUUGAAUGCUGUGCCCGCCCCUCUGCCAGUCCUGGGGUGCCUUCUCCCUCGCUUGGCACUCCUGCGGUGCAGGUCGUUCCCCCCGCAGCAAAGUGACCUUCAUUCCCACGAGGGGUGAACCCCUGGCCACAGGCCCUUCUUCAGUCAGGACACUGCACUUGUCCACUUCCCUGCAACAUGGGCCAUGAGACAGCACAGGGAUGACCUGGUACCAAAUAUAUUCUCCUUCGGCCCCACUGUGUCCAACAGGGGCUCCUCUGGAUGGUCAGGGCCAAGGACUCUGCAGGAGGACGGCUCCUUUCCUGCCUGAUGGACUCGAGGCACGAGGUGACUGCAGGGCCGAGGCACUUCCGUUCUGGAGUGUCCCACGUUUCCAGUUCGUGGUGUCCUGAACACAUGACUGUAGGCCCCUCUGGCAAAGGCCUGUGGGAAUCCCUCCUGUGUUCACUUGCACAGGGGCCCCGAGGACCUACCUUCUCUUUAAUGAGCAGGUUCUAUGGCAGAACACUGGCUCAAGGAUUGAGACUGGGCUCACCACUUCUUCCACCAUCUACGGCGCAGGCCUGGCAUUCCAGCUCUACUCUGUGUGGGCCAUAAUUUUCUCCAAAGUCCCAAGAGUCACCGUAGCAGCAUGAGGACACCUCCUCCCAGAGCCCUUGCCAGGCGGUGAAUCACAUGUGUCAGGGAGCGGCUCCCAUAUAAAUAAAUUCACACUUAUCCCUCUUUAUCCUUUGCGCCUUAGGAUCCCGUCCUGCAAACCAUUUCCAGCUUGGCCAGUGCAUGAUCCUGCAGCCCCCAUGGGGCAUCUAUUCCCUUUCUCCUGUCAGCAGGCCCAGCUCUUCCUGCCAUGUGCUGUUUGCACUGGACUCUAGUUACUGGUCUGGUGGGAGUGGGAGUUGGGGCAGGUCCUUCCGGGGCCUGUGUUGUUUGGCGAUGCCUCACGUUCAAACAAAGGAUGAGAACAUCCUCACAAAAGGACAGGGCCACCUCUACGGGCCUUCAGGGUGCCCAGCGGGCUUUCAAGGUUUCGAGAGCAUUAACUCAGAUGUCCUAUCCAAUGGUCAGGUCUCACGUGCCCACUGAAGCCCCUGAUGUGGUCACAGAGGACUUGCCGGGGCCGAAGACACAGACUUGUGUGGAGAGCUGCUUUCUCACAGUCGGUCCAGGCGUCCGCCUCUGCUUUUCUCUCCUCCACCUGCACCUGUAGGAGAUGAGUGUUUAGAUGCCACCAGCCUGGCUUUCUACCUUUCACACUUUCUUUCACUCAGGGAUUCCUAGCCCGAGCCUAAGGCAUCAAGGACUCAGGAGGAGUCAUCAGAUCCCAUUCUCAUGAGUGGAACCUUCCCCAAAUCUCUCAGUAGCCUGGGUGUCCCCUGGACCAGAGCUUUCUUUCCCACUUGGAUCCCAUCCCAGUUCAUCACCAGCAUCACUCAUGACGUGGCUCCUCCAACCAGCCAGGGACUGGUAGGGCCUCACCUGCCACCAGGAACGGGGCUGGGUUUCUAGCUGGCAGGCUGAUGCUGGGCCCCACAAUCCCACAACUGCCCGAGGGAGUGGCCACAGUUCCGUUUAGAGCCCGUUUCCUCAGAUCACUCCUGGCACCUGACCUCUGAGAGCUGGUGCGCUGGGAAGCAGAUGUGGAGAAGACGGUUUGUGUGAAAUGAGUGUCCUGAGAAGUGACCCUGGUGUCUUCGCCUGUAAAGGAAGAGCAGACAUAACCCGAGCAGAAGCUGAUUGCGGUGGUGGCUGCAGCAAGGCCUCAGUCCAUCCCACUGGGGUCUGAGUGGGAGGGCCUUGCAGACUCGUCCUGCCACGAGGGAGGCCCUGGCCCUCUCUCCUCCCUUCAUGGACCAGUCAUGGGGUGCUGUGAACUUGGGCAGGCGGCUCCCUUCACCCAGGCCAGUUCCCGGCCAGGGGCUCAGCAGAGAGCCUGGAGCCACCAACGUUCCCAGCAGCUGAGGGAUGCUGAGGGGGACCUGGGCACCACUGCGGCCACCGCUGUCCCCUUUAAAUGCCUCUUGACCUAUCUGCCCCUUCUUGAGCAUUGCCUCUCCCCAGGCUCCAUUCUCAGGCCUUUUCUUCGUUGACUCCCAUUUCUUUGGGGGGAGCAGGGAGCAUGACCCGUGCUCCCCGGCCUUAACCAGCCCUGAGCCUGGGCCCCAGGGUUUCCUGUCUCUCCAGCAUCGCCAGUUUAUGCUUCUCUUUGCCCCGCCCCUUGGGACGGCCCACCUCUUGCAUCCUUUGAUCCACCCCCCCCCCCCCCCCCACUGCUCCUACACGCGGCCCUCACUGCCUCCCUCCCGGGCUUGCUGUCCACUCAGGCCCCCGGCUCCGGGCAUGGGCGUCACAGCCCUUCGGGAGUGGAAGGGGUCACUUUACAUGCAUGUUUCCUCCCUCCUGUCUCUGUUUCCAGUGUUGCUCUCUCCUGCGUCCCCCAAAGCCAGCCCCUCCGCCUCGCCACUGCUGCUGGGGACACUUCCUCAAUCACAGAUUGUUAUUCACAUAGGAACAGUUGCUGGACGCUUGCCACGGCCUGCCCACGUCACAUUCUGGGCCAGUCAUGGUGAGCGACGCAGAAAAAGUCUCUGCUUGGAGUUCCCGUUGUGGCUCAGAGGGUUAUGAACUUGACCAGUACCCACAAAGAUCCUGGCCUCACUCAGUGGGUUAGGGAUCCCAGCUUGCCGUUGCUGUGGUGCAGGCCGGCAGCUGCAGCUCCAAUUCAACCUCCAACCUGGGAACUUCCAUAUGCUGCGGGUGCAGACC